GAAGCCUCUUUACCUCACAGCUCACUGUGGGGCACAUUCUGAGUAGACUCAACACCGGAAACAGUCAUUGUCAAGGGAGCAACUCUUACUAGUAGUCUGUAGAACUUACCUAAACAGGGAUCUCUUGAAUCUCAGAUUUUCUCAGUUACGAGGACUCAGCAUACUCUGGCAUAUUCCUUCCUGCUCCUCAGGGAAGAUCUUCCAGGAUAUAGCUCUCAGCUUCCUCACUGCCUGGCCAUGUUCUCAGUGACCAUUCUGCUGCUUGGAAUGCUCUUAACAGUGAGAGGAACUGGAGCCCAGUCAGUGACCCAGCCUGACGACCACAUCAGUGUCUCUGAAGAAACCUCUCUGGAGCUGAAGUGUAACUAUUCUAGUGGAAAUCUCUAUUUCUUCUGGUAUGUCCAGUACCCCAGCCAAGGCCUCCAGCUUCUCCUCAGGUACUCUUCAGGGCCCACCUUGGUUAAAGGCAUCAAAGGUUUUGAGGCUGAACUUAAGAAGAAUGAAACCUCCUUCCACCUGAGGAAAUCAUCAGCCCAUUUGGGUGACUCAGCUGUGUACUUCUGUGCUGCGAGUGACACAGUGACUGAGACUGCAGAGGGAGCUGAACAUAAACCUCAUGAGACACUGGAGUUUUCAGAGAUUCAAGGACACAGCUCAACCUGUUUUUAGCAAGGUCUCUCAUUUGAUGAAAGUGAGCAGAGUGGGGAGCAGAGCCCUGGGGAGCACUUGGCUCCUGAGAAUAAAGAAGAAGUUCAAUGUGUUCUUUGUUUUACUACUGGGUCAUGGUAAACAAGCCCUAGAACAGAGAAACGUAUAUGGAUAUUCUCCUUCAACUUGAAGAUGCUGCAUUCUAGAGGUUCAGGAUUCUAAUUUAAGGUGACCAAUACUGACUUCUGAUGUUUCACCUUCUGAACUCAUCUCCAGCAUGCUCCUCUCAUUACCUUUUGCUUUUCAAUUGAUAGCACCUCCAUUCUUUCAGUAUCUCUGGUCAUAAUCUCAGAGUCGUCUUUGACACUUUUCUCUUGCUGCUUACAUCUGUCAAAUUAAUAACAGAAAUCUCAUGAAAUUGGAGUUGGGAGGCCCAAAGGGGGAGCUCUCAUGCCCUAUAUCAAUAGCAGAGCCCAAUAGUAAGAAGACAGACUUCCUCUUCUUGAUCAGCAAGAAGCUCAGCCAAUGAGAUACUCUCAAAACUCAGUCAAUGAAAAGCCACUAUGUGUCAAACCCUCAAUUCUUCCAAUGGGCUCUAUUUACAAUAGCCCUCCCAACUGCCUCUUCCCUUUUAUAAAAGAGUUUCUCUUCCCUUGCUGCUGAUGGACUUGCACGUGGGUCACCAUGAUUGUAGACCCAAAUUGCAAUUUUUGCCGAUCCCAAAUAAACCCAUUUUUGCUGGAAAAA